rnacentral:tRNA from 1 species
GGGCGCGUGGCCUAGCCCGGAUAUGGCGGCAGCCUCCUAAGCUGUAGGUCGGGGGUUCAAUUCCCCCCGCGCCCG